rnacentral:rRNA from 1 species
UUUAUGGAGAGUUUGAUCCUGGCUCAGGAUGAACGCUGGCGGCGUGCCUAAUACAUGCAAGUCGAGCGAACGGACGAGAAGCUUGCUUCUCUGAUGUUAGCGGCGGACGGGUGAGUAACACGUGGAUAACCUACCUAUAAGACUGGGAUAACUUCGGGAAACCGGAGCUAAUACCGGAUAAUAUUUUGAACCGCAUGGUUCAAAAGUGGAAGACGGUCUUGCUGUCACUUAUAGAUGGAUCCGCGCUGCAUUAGCUAGUUGGUAAGGUAACGGCUUACCAAGGCAACGAUGCAUAGCCGACCUGAGAGGGUGAUCGGCCACACUGGA